rnacentral:rRNA from 1 species
AGUGAACGCUGGCGGUAGGCCUAACACAUGCAAGUCGAACGGCAGCACAGUAAGAGCUUGCUCUUACGGGUGGCGAGUGGCGGACGGGUGAGGUAUACAUCGGAAUCUACUUUUUCGUGGGGGAACACGUAGGGAAACUUACGCUAAUACCGCAUACGACCUACGGGUGAAAGCAGGGGAUCUUCGGACCUUGCGCGAUUGAAUGAGCCGAUGUCGGAUUAGCUAGUUGGCGGGGUAAAGGCCCACCAAGGCGACGAUCCGCAGCUGGUCUGAGAGGAUGACCAGCCACACUGGAACUGAGACACGGUCCAGACUCCUACGGGAGGCAGCAGUGGGGAAUAUUGGACAAUGGGCGCAAGCCUGAUCCAGCCAUACCGCGUGGGUGAAGAAGGCCUUCGGGUUGUAAAGCCCUUUUGUUGGGAAAGAAAAGCAGCAGGUUAAUACCCCGCUGUUCUGACGUUACCCAAAGAAUAAGCACCGGCUAACUUCGUG